CUACGGGUCGCUGCAGUGAGGAAUAUUGCACAAUGGGGGGAACCCUGAUGCAGCAACGCCGCGUGGAGGAUGACGCAUUUCGGUGUGUAAACUCCUUUUAUAUGUCAAGAAAAUGACGGUAGCAUAUGAAUAAGCACCGGCUAACUCCGUGCCAGCAGCCGCGGUAAUACGGAGGGUGCAAGCGUUCCUCGGAAUCACUGGGCGUAAAGGACGCGUAGGCGGGUUGGAAAGUCAGGUGUGAAAUCCUACAGCUUAACUGUAGAACUGCACUUGAAACUUCUAAUCUAGAGUAUGGGAGGGGGAGAUGGAAUUAGUGGUGUAGGGGUAAAAUCCUUAGAUAUCACUAGGAAUACCUAAAGCGAAGGCGAUCUCCUGGAACAUUACUGACGCUAAGGCGUGAAAGCGUGGGGAGCAAACAGGAUUAGAUACCCUCGUAGUC
rnacentral:rRNA from 1 species